AGCGAACGCUGGCGGCAGGCCUAACACAUGCAAGUCGAAUGAACUCUUCGGAGUUAGUGGCGGACGGGUGAGUAACACGUGGGAACGUGCCUUUUGGUUCGGAAUAACUCAGGGAAACUUGUGCUAAUACCGAAUGUGCCCUUCGGGGGAAAGAUUUAUCGCCAUUAGAGCGGCCCGCGUCUGAUUAGCUAGUUGGUGAGGUAACGGCUCACCAAGGCGACGAUCAGUAGCUGGUCUGAGAGGAUGACCAGCCACACUGGGACUGAGACACGGCCCAGACUCCUACGGGAGGCAGCAGUGGGGAAUCUUGCGCAAUGGGCGAAAGCCUGACGCAGCCAUGCCGCGUGAAUGAUGAAGGUCUUAGGAUUGUAAAAUUCUUUCACCGGGGACGAUAAUGACGGUACCCGGAGAAGAAGCCCCGGCUAACUUCGUG
rnacentral:rRNA from 1 species